rnacentral:rRNA from 1 species
CAUAGGUUAAUGAGGCGAACCGGGGGAACUGAAACAUCUAAGUACCCCGAGGAAAAGAAAUCAACCGAGAUUCCCCCAGUAGCGGCGAGCGAACGGGGAGGAGCCCAGAGCCUGAAUCAGUGUGUGUGUUAGUGGAAGCGUCUGGAAAGGCGCGCGAUACAGGGUGACAGCCCCGUACACAAAAAUGCACAUGCUGUGAGCUCGAUGAGUAGGGCGGGACACGUGGUAUCCUGUCUGAAUAUGGGGGGACCAUCCUCCAAGGCUAAAUACUCCUGACUGACCGAUAGUGAACCAGUACCGUGAGGGAAAGGCGAAAAGAACCCCGGCGAGGGGAGUGAAAAAGAACCUGAAACCGUGUACGUACAAGCAGUGGGAGCACAGAGCAAUCUGUGUGACUGCGUACCUUUUGUAUAAUGGGUCAGCGACUUAUAUUCUGUAGCAAGGUUAACCGAAUAGGGGAGCCGAAGGGAAACCGAGUCUUAACUGGGCGUUAAGUUGCAGGGUAUAGACCCGAAACCCGGUGAUCUAGCCAUGGGCAGGUUGAAGGUUGGGUAACACUAACUGGAGGACCGAACCGACUAAUGUUGAAAAAUUAGCGGAUGACUUGUGGCUGGGGGUGAAAGGCCAAUCAAACCGGGAGAUAGCUGGUUCUCCCCGAAAGCUAUUUAGGUAGCGCCUCGUGAAUUCAUCUCCGGGGGUAGAGCACUGUUUCGGCAAGGGGGUCAUCCCGACUUACCAACCCGAUGCAAACUGCGAAUACCGGAGAAUGUUAUCACGGGAGACACACGGCGGGUGCUAACGUCCGUCG